rnacentral:rRNA from 1 species
GACGAACGCUGGCGGCGUGCUUAACACAUGCAAGUCGAACGGAAAGGCCCUGCUUUUGGGGGGUGCUCGAGUGGCGAACGGGUGAGUAACACGUGAGUAACCUGCCCUUGACUUUGGGAUAACUUAAGGAAACUGGGGCUAAUACCGGAUAGGAGCUCCUGCUGCAUGGUGGGGGUUGGAAAGUUUCGGCGGUGGGGGAUGGACUCGCGGCUUAUCAGCUUGUUGGUGGGGUAGUGGAUUACCAAGGCUUUGACGGGUAGCCGGCCUGAGAGGGUGACCGGCCACAUUGGGCCGGGGAUACGGCCCGGCCUCCUACGGGAGGCAGCAGGGGGGAAUAUUGCACAAUGGGCGGAAGCCUGAUGCAGCAACGCCGCGUGCGGGAUGACGGCCUUCGGUUGGUAAACCGCUUUCGCCUGUGACGAAGCGUGAGUGACGGUAAUGGGUAAAGAAGCACCGGCUAACUACGUG